rnacentral:lncRNA from 1 species
GUUGCACUUGAGAUCUUCUCGAACCCAUCAUCAUCCAAUGCUUGGUAGGUGAGGUAGAGAGCUUUCUUGUCUCUCUUUCUUGAAUCCUUCACACCAUCCUUUGAGUUUGGGAUAAUGUAGAUUCAUCUAGGGGCUCAUUGUAGCAUUUCUCUACAAUAUCCCAAACAUCAUGUGCACCUAGGAGAGCCUUCAUCUUGAUACUCCAAUUAUCAUAGUUGCUCUUGUUGAGCAUAGGAACUUGGAAGNNNN